rnacentral:rRNA from 1 species
UACGUAGGGUGCAAGCGUUAAUCGGAAUUACUGGGCGUAAAGCGUGCGCAGGCGGUGAUGUAAGUCAGAUGUGAAAUCCCCGGGCUCAACCUGGGAACUGCAUUUGUGACUGCAUCGCUGGAGUGCGGCAGAGGGGGAUGGAAUUCCGCGUGUAGCAGUGAAAUGCGUAGAGAUCGGGAGGAACACCAGAGGCGAAGGCGGCGACCUGGACAAGUACUGACACUCAACUACGAAAGCGUGGGGAGCAAACAGG